UGUCAGACGGAUCACUCGAGCAUCGGAUGCUCUGCUGGGAUAUUGUGGCGAAGCUGAUCUUAACAUCUUGCCUGUAAAGAAAAAAAGUCGUCCAUUCGCAAGCGUUUAAACACAAGGCUGUCGAGACUAAAAAGCUUAAAAAGUCGACGGAACAACAUAGUCUCUGGCUAAAUUCAGAGAAAUCUUGUUACCACGAGAUUUAACAGCUGCGAAGUCCACGUGUUGGGGAGUAAAACGAGCAACGAGAAUAGCGUGACAUUGACCCAACGUCAGGGACUCCGUGCUUUUGGAUACAUUUCAAAACCAGAUUACAUAGGAACGAGAAUAACUACUGUUUCUUCUCUGACGACGUUUUAAUCGCUUUUUGUUGUAUCUUUCCUCGUAAUAUCCCUUCUGGGAGACUUCGCGAAUUCUUUGGUGAUAAGUUCCAUGCAAACGAGCGAUAUUUUUACGCGCGUAUCGUAGUAUUAGUGAAUAGAGGGUAACAGAGUCGCAAAUGUAGCGAACAAAAUAACGCUCGUCGCUAGAUAUGUGACAAUCGUGUAGAUAUAAGUAAAUAAAUAAAUAUAUCUAUAUGUAAUAUAUACUAACAUUAUUAAACCACAAUUUUUAUCAUCUGCUAUUUAAUAGGACACACAAACUCUACCCACGUCCAUCUAAGUACGAAAGAAGCUUCGAAGAAAUGUGAUAUUUGACAGCACAAGAAUCACUGUGAAACUAAUCAAUAUUAAUUGAUUGUCGAAAGUCCCAAGCAACUUUACAUCGACGAUAAAUAAGAAGGAAGUAAUAAAGGAAACAUCUCUUAAAGUUCCUAAAUGACAUAAGUUUUCUUCAACCAAUCCAGACGCAGCGAGGCAACAGUCUACCUGGCUACUCCAAUAUAAUAUUUGACAAGCCUAUGUAAUAAUGAUAAAUGAUAAGUAUGUAAUUCAUCUAUUUUGGGAAUAUAAUUAAAAAAGGUAGAACCUCCGUACUACCAGGUUUCUAUUUUCCAACUAUGAAGAACAUAAACCCGCCAAGAAAAGAAAUUCCUCGUAAAUCGAUAAAAGUUUUUGUAGCUUCGAUAUAAAGACAGUAAAUAUACAACUAACUUAUCAACCUCUUUUAUGACAUUUACUGUACAAAAGCUAAAAUUUAAUUUUUAUAUUAGCAAUGCAAAAAAUCUGUAGAAUAAAGAGAUAAUUAUUUUCUAAA